UGGGAUGUAGCUUAAUGGUAGAGCACUUGCCUGGUAUGUGCAAGGCCCUAGGUUCAAACCCCAGCACCAUAA
rnacentral:tRNA from 1 species